rnacentral:lncRNA from 1 species
CUCAACUGAUCCCAAUUAACCUAAGCAGAAGGUGGCAAUUUGGGCAAGAUUUAGAACACAGCAUAAAGAAACCUUCUUCAAAAGGUCCAGGCUCCCUGCUGCUAUCAGCACAGCCCAAGCAUGGGCUGAGGACCACGAGCUGCAGUAUGGUGGUAGGUGGGAAGUGCUGCAAAACAUGUGGCAGAGCUGAGGAGGUUUUCGGCAAGGACGUUUUAAGCUCCCAGGUAUAUUGGAACACGUGCUGGAAAAUAGCAACUGCUUACAGAUUCACUCAGCUUUACAAGGAAGAAGGUCUUACUCCUAUCCGGUCAUCUGAAACCACAAUCCAAUUCUAACAAAGAUGCAUUGAGCUCAAGGAGGGAUUUCCAGAUUGUGUUACAUCCCUCACCACUGGUGAUAGAAAAUUACUUCAAAGCAUUAUGAAAAGGCUAAUUGAAUAGCUAAAUUUCUCCUCAGACACACGUGUGUGUCCCAUGCACAGAGCCUGGCACUGCAGCAUGACAGGAGUAAAUUAUAUCUGGUAACUUGGGAGCAUCAGCCCCGCAAGACUGAAGAUGACAAUUUCGUGGACAGUUGUGGCAGAAUCCAUCUGAAAGAAGAGCACUUUGCCUUUCUGAUCAGCAUCACGUUCAUCCUCCCCGAAUUCAGCCUUUGCCUGCUGCUCGUGGUCCACAAGCCCAUUUCUUUGUAAGCCUGACAAGAAGUUUGCGGAGUUGAUGCAUAACUUUAUCUUUCCAAGAAAAUGCCAUCUGUAUUAAACGCUAAAAUUAACCAAGGCUAAUUGGUUGCCACACACAGAGCAUGCUAUGCUCUGCUGGAUAAAGUAACAAAUGCAUUAGUAGAUCUAAGCUGCUCCAUUAUUCUCUAUUACAGAAAGUAUGCUCACCCUAUUAAACUCAUGGUGUUUGAGCCACGCUGCUGCUUGCUCCUACACACCAAACACAGCCACCUCAGUCGGCCCCAAGCACAACGGCUCAGAAUCAGCCAGAAUGAAACAAACCUAUUUAAAAUACAAAUGCAUGUUCUGACCUUUCACAUAUCUUGGAAGUUAGUUGCAAUUAGAGCUUCAUUUCUCUAAGUCUCCAAGAAAGCUACCGAUAUUGAAUAGUACAACUUUUGUAUUGAUUUGUGCUUCCCAGGACAACGCUGCUGUUUUCUUUCAGUGCCUUUAUGCGGGAUGACCCCAGUCACCAGCAGAGCUCCACAGAGAAUAGGAUACUGCCAUCAGUUAUCUCCCCUUUUCUGGACAAGACAAGCAGCAAACCAGAGGCACAGCAAAGGGCUGAGAGCAGUGAGUGCUUAGUGCCACUGCCCCUUCUACAUUAGCACAGGAAGCUGCU